rnacentral:rRNA from 1 species
CGCUAGCUACAGGCUUAACACAUGCAAGUCGAGGGGCAGCAUGGUCUUAGCUUGCUAAGGCUGAUGGCGACCGGCGCACGGGUGAGUAACACGUAUCCAACCUGCCGUCUACUCUUGGCCAGCCUUCUGAAAGGAAGAUUAAUCCAGGAUGGCAUCAUGAGUUCACAUGUCCGCAUGAUUAAAGGUAUUUUCCGGUAGACGAUGGGGAUGCGUUCCAUUAGAUAGUAGGCGGGGUAACGGCCCACCUAGUCAACGAUGGAUAGGGGUUCUGAGAGGAAGGUCCCCCACAUUGGAACUGAGACACGGUCCAAACUCCUACGGGAGGCAGCAGUGAGGAAUAUUGGUCAAUGGGCGAUGGCCUGAACCAGCCAAGUAGCGUGAAGGAUGACUGCCCUAUGGGUUGUAAACUUCUUUUAUAAAGGAAUAAAGUCGGGUAUGCAUACCCGUUUGCAUGUACUUUAUGAAUAAGGAUCGGCUAACUCCGUGCCAGCAGCCGCGGUAAUACGGAGGAUCCGAGCGUUAUCCGGAUUUAUUGGGUUUAAAGGGAGCGUAGAUGGAUGUUUAAGUCAGUUGUGAAAGUUUGCGGCUCAACCGUAAAAUUGCAGUUGAUACUGGAUGUCUUGAGUGCAGUUGAGGCAGGCGGAAUUCGUGGUGUAGCGGUGAAAUGCUUAGAUAUCACGAAGAACUCCGAUUGCGAAGGCAGCCUGCUAAGCUGCAACUGACAUUGAG